UUUUUUUAUGAUAUUUUCUAUGUUAUUCCAAAGGAUAAUAAAGUUCGUGCAAAAAAGAACCAUUAUUUCCUCUCUCUUACUCUUUCUCUCUCUCUCCCACACACACACUCUAUAUAACGAAGUCUAACGUCAUACUUUUGUCAUCAUCCACGUAGGUAUAAAGAACAAUAAUUUCAUCCUUCGUCGAACUCUGCCGGAACGUUGUCCCGCCGCGGGUGUAUAACACAGACACUAUCGACACUAUCC